GUUAUAUCCAGUGAGGAUGUGGUGACUGGUCUACAAAUACUGUUAUUGAAAUGACCACUUAACCAAGAAGUCUUUCUGUCUUUGUAAAGCACAGGUAGCAAGAACACUGAAGGUUGUUGGAUUGUAAAAUUGUGAGCGUGAGAAGGAAAGGAAAUGCAAAUAUUGAUUCCUCUUGUAAAAUAAAAGUUGGAAAACAGAUAUACUUCCCAUCAAAUACCUGCUUCUCUUCCAGCUGGUCUGGAAAGUUGCAUUAGCUGGGAAUUUCAAUGGGAAUGUUUCUCUAGGUAGAUGGAAAACACAAAAGCCUUGGUAGUGUCUCCGCAGUACUGGAGGAGCAGCUUGUACUGUUGAAAUGACAUUAGGGAGCGCUGCUAACACACUGAGCAGAAUGACCCAUUCCAGAAACGUUUUAUGUGGAGAGUCAGGAAAGAGAGAAGGCUUAUCUUUGAAGAGUUCAGGUACAUAGGAAAUGCCAUCGUAAAAUGCACAGGCUGAACUGUACUAUCCUGUGCUUGCGUCAGAAAAGCUACAUGAAUUAAUUGCAUCAAAGACAUAAUCUGGGUUCACAGUCUGUGAUGGAAAUGGAAAAGGCCAACAGUUAUGAUUCUGUGAUUCGAUGAUUUGAUGAUUCUGAGAACAGUUAAGUUAUAAAGACUGUUGUCCUGUAUGUAAUGCUCCUAAAAUAGAUAAUGAGAAAUAUUCACAUGAUUACAUCUUUCCAAUUGGAGUUCUUUUCUUUAGAAACAACCAACAACAACAACAACAAUUGAAGAUGGU
rnacentral:lncRNA from 1 species